GGAGGAAAGUAGGGGAUCGAAAGACCUCAUGCUUUUGGAGCGGCCGAUGUCUGAUUAGCUAGUUGGUGAGGUAAUGGCUUACCAAGGCAACGAUCAGUAGUUGGUCUGAGAGGACGACCAGCCACACUGGGACUGAGACACGGCCCAGACUCCUACGGGAGGCAGCAGUGGGGAAUUUUGGACAAUGGGCGCAAGCCUGAUCCAGCAAUGCCGCGUGAGUGAAGAAGGCCUUCGGGUUGUAAAGCUCUUUCAGUUGAGAAGAAAGAAUUCUGGUUAAUACCUGGAAUUUAUGACGGUAUCGACAGAAGAAGCACCGGCUAACUACGUGCCAGCAGCCGCGGUAAUACGUAGGGUGCAAGCGUUAAUCGGAAUUACUGGGCGUAAAGGGUGCGCAGGUGGUUUUGUAAGUCAGAUGUGAAAUCCCCGGGCUUAACCUGGGAAUUGCGUUUGAAACUACAAAGCUAG
rnacentral:rRNA from 1 species